rnacentral:rRNA from 1 species
AUUGAACGCUGGCGGCAGGCCUAACACAUGCAAGUCGAACGGUAACAGGAAACAGCUUGCUGUUUCGCUGACGAGUGGCGGACGGGUGAGUAAUGUCUGGGAAACUGCCUGAUGGAGGGGGAUAACUACUGGAAACGGUAGCUAAUACCGCAUAACGUCGCAAGACCAAAGAGGGGGACCUUCGGGCCUCUUGCCAUCGGAUGUGCCCAGAUGGGAUUAGCUAGUAGGUGGGGUAACGGCUCACCUAGGCGACGAUCCCUAGCUGGUCUGAGAGGAUGACCAGCCACACUGGAACUGAGACACGGUCCAGACUCCUACGAGAGGCAGCAGUGGGGAAUAUUGCACAAUGGGCGCAAGCCUGAUGCAGCCAUGCCGCGUGUAUGAAGAAGGCCUUCGGGUUGUAAAGUACUUUCAGCGGGGAGGAAGGGAGUAAAGUUAAUACCUUUACUCAUUGACGUUACCCGCAGAAGAAGCACCGGCUAACUCCGUG